rnacentral:snRNA from 1 species
GCAUCAAGGAAGCAAGUGAAUUGGAAAAUUGGAAAACACAGGGAAGAUUAGCAUGGCCUCUGUGCAAAGACGACAUGCAAAUUCGUUCAGUUUCCCACAUUUUU